rnacentral:rRNA from 1 species
UAGGGAAUCUUCGGCAAUGGACGAAAGUCUGACCGAGCAACGCCGCGUGAGUGAAGAAGGUUUUCGGAUCGUAAAACUCUGUUGUUAGAGAAGAACAAGGACGUUAGUAACUGAACGUCCCCUGACGGUAUCUAACCAGAAAGCCACGGCUAACUACGUGCCAGCAGCCGCGGUAAUACGUAGGUGGCAAGCGUUGUCCGGAUUUAUUGGGCGUAAAGCGAGCGCAGGCGGUUUCUUAAGUCUGAUGUGAAAGCCCCCGGCUCAACCGGGGAGGGUGAUUAGAACCUGGGAGACUUGAGUGCAGAAGAGGAGGGUGGAAUUCCAUGUGUAGCGGUGAAAUGCGUAGAUAUAUGGAGGAACACCAGUGGCGAAGGCGGCUCUCUGGUCUGUAACUGACGCUGAGGCUAGAAAGCGUGGGGAGCAAACAGG